GUGAAAACAAGCUGCAAGAUUCAGGAGUGAAGCUGCUGUGUUCUGGACUGGAGAGUCCAAACUGUCGACUGGAGACUCUGAGGUCCUUAAAUCCUUCUUCACUUUUCAGACUUUCUUUCUUAUUGGGUCAUUAUUUAUUUGACUUGUCUCAGUUCUGCUCUGCUCACUGUCCCUCAGUCAUCUGUCCCUCACCCAGCCUGUCAGUCACGUCCACCUCAUCAACUCCAUUCACCUGCACUCACCUGCUCCUGAUCACUGAGAAAGUGUCAGUAAAUAACAUGUGGACUGAGGCCGAGCACUCGUCCUCCUCAGGUUUUCAAAAUAAGACACAUUCUUAUUGAAACACGUUGGACAGUUGAUAAGUAUAGAAACAAACAGGAAGUGACAUCAGGAGCCGUCCCUACUUUAAACAGUGUUUAAUUACACAAACCUGCUCAGUGACCAACACACAGAGAAGAAGCUGAUGAAUGAAACAAUGGUCCAACAUGUCUGAUCUGAUAUUUAUCUUCAGGUCACAGACUGGACUGAGGUCAGCAGCAUGUUGAGAGUCUGUGUUGACAUGAUGACGAUCCACAACAACAGGAGGACACAUUCUAAUAUUCAUAUUUCUUUAUCCAGGUUGACGAGCUGCAGUCUGACAGAGAUCAGCUGUUCUUCUCUGGCUUCAGCUCUGAGGUCAAACCCCUCUCAUCUGAGAGAACUGGAUCUGAGUGACAACGGCCUGCAGGACUCAGCAGUGAAGGAGCUUCUUGAUCUACAGCAGAGUCCAACCUGUCGACUGGAGACUCUGAGGUGGGAUACGAGAUCACCUCAGAGAGAACCCCAAGUCCAAAACCACGAGACCCCCCGGUCUUGUGUGUUGUCUUAGUGGAGGUGAGUGUGAAGAGGACAGUGUGUGAGGACGGAGGCUGAGCUGUGUCCUGAGGAUCCAGAGGCUGAAGCAGCAGCAGCUUGUGUGUAGUCUCCAAUCUACACAACCCCUCAUCUGCAUGUGUUUGUGAGAUGAAGCCGGAGCACCUGGAGAAAACACGGGGAGAACAUGCAGACUCCACACAGGAAGACCCAUCUGAACCGGAUUCAAACCAGCAACCUUCCUGCCCCGAUUGUGUUUAUUCACAUGAAGAAUGUGUUUAUUGAAAUGACACAACACAAGCAGAAUAUAUAAACCCUCUAUAAAGAGUCACAUAAGGUGUGUUUAAGUUUGUCUUUAUUAUUCUCCACCUUUGUCCCUCAGUCUGUCUCCAUGUGUGUAGAACCACAUUCUGUGUAGAUGUUUGUUUAUGAUCUUAAAGUUCCAAAGAAGGAAGGCUGCCGUGUCUCCAGCUCUCCCACAGCUCUGCUCUUUUUUCUAUCUUGUUGUUAUUGAUUCUUCUUUAUGUUGCAUUGUGCACUCCGACAAAGCGAGCCCUAUCAUCAUAUGUGAUGGAGAACAACUUCUGCUCAUCGGGUUGACGGUGAGAAACACUUAGUCACCAGUGAAGACCUGGACCCAUCACACAGACUCCAUCAGGGAGACGGCCAGGCAGCGGCUCUUCUCCACAUGGACUCCAGGAUCCAGGUGCAGCACAGAGAGCAUCCUGACAGAAACAUCUUUGACAAACAUAUUUAACGUCUUCUUUGAUUAUUUGUUUAUGUCCAUGUCCCAUCUGCUCACAUGGAGGAGGAGGUGUAUGACCUAUACUGCAGCCACACACCAGGGGGCAGUGUCAGUCUGGUUCAGCUCAUUUGUUCAUGGUGUGUUGAUGGACUGAUCUGAUUGGAUGUUCCUUAGUGGUUAUUCUUUUUUAUGAAUCUACUUCCUGUGUUGAGCGCGAGCUGCUGUUUAAAGACGUGUUUGACCUUUGACCUGAGCUGACCCGACAGUUCACUGUGACGAAGAGGAUGAAGAUGUGUAGUAUGUGUUGAACGUUGUCGUCCACUCAGAGGAUCAAUAAAGAUUAUAACUGACGAUCAA